rnacentral:rRNA from 1 species
GAGUUUGAUCAUGGCUCAGAUUGAACGCUAGCGGGAUGCUUUACACAUGCAAGUCGAACGGCAGCACGAGAGAGCUUGCUCUCUUGGUGGCGAGUGGCGGACGGGUGAGUAAUAUAUCGGAACGUGCCCAGUAGCGGGGGAUAACUACUCGAAAGAGUGGCUAAUACCGCAUACGCCCUACGGGGGAAAGGGGGGGAUUCUUCGGAACCUCUCACUAUUGGAGCGGCCGAUAUCGGAUUAGCUAGUUGGUGGGGUAAAGGCUCACCAAGGCAACGAUCCGUAGCUGGUUUGAGAGGACGACCAGCCACACUGGGACUGAGACACGGCCCAGACUCCUACGGGAGGCAGCAGUGGGGAAUUUUGGACAAUGGGGGAAACCCUGAUCCAGCCAUCCCGCGUGUAUGAUGAAGGCCUUCGGGUUGUAAAGUACUUUUGGCAGAGAAGAAAAGGUACCUCCUAAUACGAGGUACUGCUGACGGUAUCUGCAGAAUAAGCACCGGCUAACUACGUGCCAGCAGCCGCGGUAAUAC